rnacentral:lncRNA from 1 species
CACCGCCAUGCAAACCCCUCCUCAGAACAUUCUCGUACUUCUCCGAAAAAUGAAACCAAAUGAUACCAUAAAACAAAAUCGAAAAUAAAAUAUGAUGUUUCUUGCGAGAUUCAAGAAGAUGAAUUCAGCAACUUCUUGCUGGGAUUUUCUUGAACAUAAACUCCACUUUGUGUAGCAGAAACUCUCUUUGUCUAUACAUAUAUGUAUAUGAUACGUCUCUUUCAAGGGUCUCUAUCUGCUCCUUUUUCUCUCCUUCUCUACGAAGAAAACUAUCAGAUUAUUCUGAAGCGGUUUGCUUUUUAUCUUCUGUAGUAAUCAGAUUUGGAACUCAUCCCUUUGUACAGAAAUCCUUGUCCUUGCCAAGCUGUCUCAAGGCCUCCAAUUUUGAGGGUUACAAAGAAAAUAAAAAUUAACUCAAAUAAAAUGAGAAUUAUGCAUUAAUAAAAACAGAUAAAGUAUGAUCAUUUGUAGGAAACGACUAGAACCAGUGACUCCUACUCCUCUCUCUCUCUCUCUCUAACCGCCUGUGUUUUUC